CCGGCGCACGGGUGAGUAACGCGUAUCCAACCUGCCGUCUACUCUUGGACAGCCUUCUGAAAGGAAGAUUAAUACAAGAUGGCAUCAUGAGUCCGCAUGUUCACAUGAUUAAAGGUAUUCCGGUAGACGAUGGGGAUGCGUUCCAUUAGAUAGUAGGCGGGGUAACGGCCCACCUAGUCUUCGAUGGAUAGGGGUUCCGAGAGGAAGGUCCCCCACAUUGGAACUGAGACACGGUCCAA
rnacentral:rRNA from 1 species